GACGAAUUGAAAAUUAUAGUUAAAAACGCGUAACACCCUUCUUUCAGCAAUUGGUAGAAAAACUAGACAGAAGAUCUCUAAGGAUAUAGAAGAACUCAAGGACCCUAUCAGCCACUAGGCUCUAACCUACAUUUUUAGAAUACUUUACCCAACAACAGGAGAAUACACAUUUUUGUCAACUGCCCGUGGAUCAUAUACUAAGAUGGACCAUAUCUUGGGCCAUAAAAUGAACCUUAAUACAUCUAAAAGAAUUGAAACUAUAUAGACUGUAUUCUCUGACCCUAUGGAGUCAAACUAGAAAUUGAUAACAAAAUGAUGAUAGGAAAAUCCUCAAACACUUGGAAACUAAACAAUACAAUUCUGAAUAAUCCAUGGGUCAAAGAGGAAGUCUCAGGGAAAUAAAAAAAAUUGAGCUGCUUUGUAAAAAAAAAGUCAAAAUUUGUAUACCACAGCCGUAGUAAUGAUGAGGGGAAAAUUAAUAGCACUAAAUGUAUACAUUAGGAAAGAGAAAAAGCAUCAGAUCAAUUAUCUAACUUUCCACCUAAUGUUAUAAUGGCUGGUUUACUGAAAUAAGUAACAUGGUAUCCACUUGAAAGAAAAUUACAUUUAAAGCCAUUUGAUCCAAGCAAAUUUUAUUAUAGUUAUAGAAAAACAGAUUUCUAAAAUUUAAUGAAAAGGCAGAGGAAGUAGAAUGGUUGAAAUAAUUUUGAAAAAGAAGAAAAAAGUGGGAGGUAUCAGUGUACUUUAUUGCAAGCUUUAUUAUUUAGGUAUAGUAAUCAAGACUGUGUGAUAUUGGGGUGGAGGGGAGAGAGAGUGGAAUAGAGAACACAGAAGUGGAGCCACACAGAUAUGCCCAAUUGAUUUGACAAAGUGCAGAAGCAGUUAACUUCAUUUCAACAAAUGGUUCUGGAACUAGUAGACAUCCACAGGCAAAACAACAACAACAAACAAACAAACCAAACCAAAAAAGAAGAACGAAAAACAAAAACCAAAAAACAAAACCACAAGAAAAAAAACCCACCUCAAUCUGUCUCAUGGACUUAAAUGUAAAACAAUAAAACUUUCAGACAAAAACAUAGAAGAAAAUCUUCUAAAUCUCAGGCUAAGAGUCCUUAGACUUGACACCAAAUGUCUGAUCCAAAGGACAAAUUGAGACAUUGGACUUUACCCAAAUUAAAUUUUUUUGUUCUACAAAAGACCCUGUUAAGACGAUGAAAUGACAAGCUGUGGACUGGGAGGAAAUAUUUGCAAACCACACAUUCAGUAAAGGACUGGUAUCUUGAAUUUAUAAAGAACUCUCAAAACUCUACAGUAGAAAAAUCCAAUUAGAAAAUGGACACCAUUGUGGUGGGUCAUGCCUGUAGUCCCAGCCACUCACAUGGCUGAGGCAGGAGGAUCUCUCGAACCAAAGAGUUUCAGGUUACAGUGAGCUAUGAUCGUGCCACUGCACUCCUACCUGGGUGACAGAGUGAGACCGGGUCCUGAGGAAAAAAAAGAGAAAAAAAUAGGCAAAAGACAUGAACAGAUAUUUUACAAAAGAGGAUAUACAAAUGCCAAAUAAGCACAUGGAAAAAUGUUUAAAAUCAUUCAUCAUUAGGAAAAUGCAAAUUAAAACCACAGUGACAUGUCACUGCACAACUACCAGAAUGUCUAAAAUAAUAAUUAAAAAAAGUGGCAACACCAGAUGCCAGCAAGGAGGCAGAGAUGCUGGAUUACUCAUACGUUGUUGGUAGGAAUAUAAGAUGACAUAGCCACUCUGGAAAACAGUUUGGCAGUUUCUUAAAAAAGUAAGCAUGCUACUACUAUGUGAUCUAACAAUUGCACUCCUGGGCAUUUAUUGCUCAGAAUAGAAAAUUUAUGCUUGCAUGAAAAUCUGAGACAAAUGUUCCUAGUGGCUUUUUUCAUAAUAACCCCUAACUGUCAACAACCCAGAUGUCCUUCAAGGGGUAAAUGGAUAUAUAACUUAGGAAGAAAAGGAAAUGAAGUAUUGAUACCUGCAACAACUUGGAUGAAUCUGCAGAUAAUUAUGCUGAGGCAAUAAAAGCCAAUCUCCAAAAGUUAGAUACUUUAUGAUUACAUUUAUAUAAUGUUCUUUCUUUUCUUUUUUAUUUUUAUUUUUUUGAGAUGGAUUCUUGCUCUGCCGCCCAGGCUGGAAUGCAGUGGUGUGGUUUUGGCUCAUUGCAACCUCUGCCUCCUGGGUUCACGAGGUUUUCCUGCCUCAGCCUCCCAAGUAUCUGGGACUACAGGGACCCACCACCAUGCCCGGCUAAUUUUUAUAUUUUUAGUAGAGAGGGGAUUUCACCAUGUUGGCUAGGCUGGUCUUGAACUCCUGACCUCAGGUGAUCUACCCGCCUUGGCCUCCCAAAGUGCUGGGAUUACAGGCGUGAACCACUGCCCCCGGCCUAUAUAAUAUUCUUCAAAUGACAAAAUUACAGGAAUGGAGAACAAGUUUGUGGUUGCUGGGAGUUAAGGGUGGGGGCGGGGGGGCUGGGAGGGAAGUGUUUGUGGCUUUAAAAGGGCAUUUUGUAUCUUGACUGUAUCACUGUUGAUAUCCUGGUUGUGAUAUUGUAUUAUAGUUUUGCACAAUGGUACCGUUGGCAAAAGCUGGUAAAGAGAUAUCUCUGUAUUUUUC
rnacentral:lncRNA from 1 species